rnacentral:rRNA from 1 species
GACGAACGCUGGCGGCGUGCUUAACACAUGCAAGUCGAACGGAAAGGCCCUGUUUUUGUGGGGUGCUCGAGUGGCGAACGGGUGAGUAACAAGUGAGUAACCUGCCCUUGACUUUGGGAUAACUUCAGGAAACUGGGGCUAAUACCGGAUAUGAGCUCCUGCUGCAUGGAGGGGGUUGGAAAGGUUCGGCGGUUGGGGAUGGACUCGCGGCUUAUCAGUUUGUUGGUGGGGUAGAGGAUUACCAAGGCUUUGACGGGUAGCCGGCCCGAGAGGGUGACCGGGCACAGUAAGACAGAUAUACGGGCCAGACUUGUGCGGAAUGCAGAGGUGGGGGAUAAUGCACGAACGGGGGAUGCCUCGUGCAGGAAGGCCGCGUGAUGGGUUAUUGCCUUCGUGUGUGAAGCCACUUUCGCCUAUGACGGAGCGUACGUGAAGGUAAUUGGUAAAGAAGCACCGGCUAACUACGUG